UACAGAGGUCCCGAGCGUUGUUCGGAUUCACUGGGCGUAAAGGGUGCGUAGGUGGCUUGAAAAGUUUGAUGUGAAAGCUCAGGGCUUAACCCUGAAAUGGCAUUGAAUACUGUCGAGCUGGAGGUUUGGAGGGGGACUGGAAUUCUUGGUGUAGCAGUGAAAUGCGUAGAUAUCAAGAGGAACACCUGUGGCGAAAGCGGCUCACUGGACCACAACUGACGCUGAUGCACGAAAGCUAGGGGAGCAAACAGG
rnacentral:rRNA from 1 species